AGUGACAAACCUCUUUUGGUUUACAGGCGGUCAGACACUCAGCAUGACUGGCAAAACAGAUUAUCUGUGUGUCAGUGUACAUUUUAUUCAUCCGUCGUUUGGGUCAGGGUCUGCGGGCAGACACAGGUAGCUACUGCCCUGUUGUGAGAAGCAAUACCUCAAUUGGUGCCCCAUGUGAGGAGAGCUGUGUGAGGACAGUCAGGGGUCUGCAGAAACAGACCUUCCGCAGUUGGAGCCCCUUGUAAGGCAAGCUAUGAAGGAAGUGUAAGGACCGCUUUCAUGAGGAAAGCUGCAAAGGAAGCCUGAGGAAUGCGACGGGCCCCCAGGAAACAAAGGUGAAGAAAAACCGCGUGGUCAAGUCAGUGAGUAACUACAAUCAAAGACAGCCUUGCAGAGCCCCAGGGGAGUCAAGGGGAGGAGCAGGCUGGCAAGGAGAGAGAUGCCCCAGGUCUGAAGGAGUGAUGUAGAAGACAGGAUCUGUUGGCUGGGAACCUAAGGAUGAUUCACACUCACUUCCUAGAACUGAAUCAAAAGGAAAAUCCCACCUCUCCACAAUCAAGUAACAAAAGGAUCAGAGGCUACUCCUUUUGCAAAUCAUGCCACCAAUUCCCACUUUCCACUGCAUUGCAGAUGAAAAACGGAA
rnacentral:lncRNA from 10 species